rnacentral:tRNA from 1 species
GCGUAUGUGGUAUAGCUUGGUUAGAACAAGGGGCUUCCAACCCCUUAACCCGGGUCCGAAUCCCGGCAUACGCACCA